GAUAGUGAUAUGGAGCAAAACCCUAAAAAGCGGUCUCAGUUCGGAUUGAAGGCUGAAAUUCGCCUUCAUGAAGCUGGAAUUGCUAGUAAUGGCAGGUCAGCAUACUGCCGUGAAUACGUUCCCGGGGCCCUUGUACACACCGCCCGUCACACCAUGAGAGUUGGAAAUACCCGAAGCCUGUGAGCUAACUGUAAAGAGGCAGCAGUCGAAGGUAGAGCCAAUGAUUGGGGUGAAGUCGUAACAAGGUACC
rnacentral:rRNA from 1 species